rnacentral:rRNA from 1 species
GCCCCGGUAAACGGCGGCCGUAACUAUAACGGUCCUAAGGUAGCGAAAUUCCUUGUCGGGUAAGUUCCGACCUGCACGAAUGGCGUAAUGAUGGCCAGGCUGUCUCCACCCGAGACUCAGUGAAAUUGAACUCGCUGUGAAGAUGCAGUGUACCCGCGGCAAGACGGAAAGACCCCGUGAACCUUUACUAUAGCUUGACACUGAACAUUGAGCCUUGAUGUGUAGGAUAGGUGGGAGGCUUUGAAGUGUGGACGCCAGUCUGCAUGGAGCCGACCUUGAAAUACCACCCUUUAAUGUUUGAUGUUCUAACGUUGGCCCGUAAUCCGGGUUGCGGACAGUGUCUGGUGGGUAGUUUGACUGGGGCGGUCUCCUCCUAAAGAGUAACGGAGGAGCACGAAGGUUGGCUAAUCCUGGUCGGACAUCAGGAGGUUAGUGCAAUGGCAUAAGCCAGCUUGACUGCGAGCGUGACGGCGCGAGCAGGUGCGAAAGCAGGUCAUAGUGAUCCGGUGGUUCUGAAUGGAAGGGCCAUCGCUCAACGGAUAAAAGGUACUCCGGGGAUAACAGGCUGAUACCGCCCAAGAGUUCAUAUCGACGGCGGUGUUUGGCACCUCGAUGUCGGCUCAUCACAUCCUGGGGCUGAAGUAGGUCCCAAGGGUAUGGCUGUUCGCCAUUUAAAGUGGUACGCGAGCUGGGUUUAGAACGUCGUGAGACAGUUCGGUCCCUAUCUGCCGUGGGCGCUGGAGAACUGAGGGGGGCUGCUCCUAGUACGAGAGGACCGGAGUGGACGCAUCACUGGUGUUCGGGUUGUCAUGCCAAUGGCACUGCCCGGUAGCUAAAUGCGGAAGAGAUAAGUGCUGAAAGCAUCUAAGCACGAAACUUGCCCCGAGAUGAGUUCUCCCUGACUCCUUGA